GUGCCAGCAGCCGCGGUAAUACGGGGGGUGCAAGCGUUAUUCGGAAUCAUUGGGCGUAAAGGGCGCGUAGGCGGCCUCUUAAGUCAGAUGUGAAAGCCCUCAGCUUAACUGAGGAAGUGCAUUUGAAACUAAGGGGCUUGAGUAUGGGAGAGGGAAGCGGAAUUCCUGGUGUAGCGGUGAAAUGCGUAGAUAUCAGGAGGAACACCGGUGGCGAAGGCGGCUUCCUGGACCAAUACUGACGCUGAGGCGCGAAGGCGUGGGGAGCAAACAGGAUUAGAUACCCUGGUAGUCCACGCAGUAAACUGUGAACACUAGGUGUAGCGGGUAUUGACCCCUGCUGUGCCGAAGCUAACGCAUUAAGUGUUCCGCCUGGGAAGUACGGUCGCAAGGCUAAA
rnacentral:rRNA from 1 species